AACGUAGGAGACAACCGUUAUCCGGAGUUACUGGGCGUAAAGGGCGUGUAGGUGGUGCUGUAAGUUCGGCGUGAAAUUUUUCGGCUUAACCGGGAAAGGUCGUCGGAUACUGCAGGACUAGAGGACGGUAGAGGCGUGUGGAAUUCCGGGUGUAGUGGUGAAAUGCGUAGAGAUCCGGAGGAACACCAGUGGCGAAGGCGACACGCUGGGCCGUACCUGACGCUGAGGCGCGAAAGCUAGGGGAGCAAACGGG
rnacentral:rRNA from 1 species